AGGAUGAACGCUGGCGGCGUGCCUAAAACAUGCAAGUCAUACGGUCUACCUUCGGGUAGACAGUGGCAAACGGGUGAGUAACACGUGGGAACACGCCUUCGAGUGGGGAAUAACGCUGAGAAAUCAGUGCUAAUACCGCAUAUGGUCUAACGACUAAAGCAGUAAUGCGCUCGGAGAGUGGCCCGCGUCCGAUUAGCUAGUUGGUGGGGUAAUGGCCUACCAAGGCGGUGAUCGGUAGCUGGUCUGAGAGGAUGGUCAGCCACACUGGGACUGCGAACGGCCCAGACUCCUACGGGAGGCAGCAGUUAGGAAUUUUCGGCAAUGGACGAAAGUCUGACCGAGCGACGCCGCGUGGAGGACGAAGCCUUUCGGGUGUAAACUCCUUUUCUGCGGGAAGAUAAUGACGGUACCGCAGGAAUAAGCACCGGCUAACUACGCGCCAGCAGCCGC
rnacentral:rRNA from 1 species